UACGUAGGCAGCGAGCGUUGUUCGGAGUUAUUGGGCGUAAAGAGCUCGUAGGCGGCUUGUCGCGUCGUUCGUGAAAACCCACAGCUCAACUGUGGGCUUGCGGUCGAUACGGGCAGGCUGGAGUUCGGUAGGGGAGACUGGAAUUCCUGGUGUAGCGGUGAAAUGCGUAGAUAUCUGGAGGAACACCGGUGGCGAAGGCGGCAUCCUGGACCGGUAUUGACGCUGAGGCGCGAAAGCCAGGGGAGCAAACGGG
rnacentral:rRNA from 1 species